rnacentral:rRNA from 1 species
UACGGAGGGUGCGAGCGUUUAUCCGGAAUCACUGGGUUUAAAGGGUGCGUAGGCGGUCUGAUAAGUCAGUUGUGAAAUUCCUCGGCUUAACCGAGUGGACUGCGAUUGAUACUGUCAGACUUGAAUCAGGUUGAGGUAGGCGGAAUGUGACAUGUAGCGGUGAAAUGCUUAGAUAUGUCAUAGAACACCGAUUGCGAAGGCAGCUUGCUGGGCUUAGAUUGACGCUGAGGCACGAAAAGCGUGGGGGAUCAAACAGG